GACGAACGCUGGCGGCGUGCUUAACACAUGCAAGUCGAACGGAAAGGCCCUGCUUUUGUGGGGUGCUCGAGUGGCGAACGGGUGAGUAACACGUGAGUAACCUGCCCUUGACUUUGGGAUAACUUCAGGAAACUGGGGCUAAUACCGGAUAGGAGCUCCUGCUGCAUGGUGGGGGUUGGAAAGUUUCGGCGGUUGGGGAUGGACUCGCGGCUUAUCAGCUUGUUGGUGGGGUAGUGGCUUACCAAGGCUUUGACGGGUAGCCGGCCUGAUAGGGUGACCGGCCACAUUGGGCCUGAGAUACGGCCCAGACUCCUACGGGAGGCAGCAGUGGGGAAUAUUGCACAAUGGGCGGAAGCCUGAUGCAGCACCGCCGCGUGCGGGAUGACGGCCUUCGGGUUGUAAACCGCUUUCGCCUGUGACGAAGCGUGAGUGACGGUAAUGGGUAAAGAAGCACCGGCUAACUACGUG
rnacentral:rRNA from 1 species